CCCCUAGAUGUUCUGGGCCGCACGCGCGCUACACUGAACAGUGCAACAAGCAUCCGUCCUUGGCCGACAGGCUCGGGCAAUCUUUGAACGCUGGUCGUGAUGGGGAUAGACUUUUGCAAUUUUUGGUCUUCAACGAGGAAUUCCUAGUAAACGCAAGUCAUCAACUUGCAUUGAUUACGUCCCUGCCCUUUGUACACACCGCCCGUCGCACCUACCGAUUGAAUGGUCCGGUGAAGCCUCCGGAUUGGCGCGCACCUCGGUGCCGCCGAGAAGUUGGCUAAACCUUACCAUUUAGAGGAAGGUGAAGUCGUAACA
rnacentral:rRNA from 1 species